AAUCUUGCGCAAUGGGCGAAAGCCUGACGCAGCCAUCCCGCGUGUGCGAUGAAGGCCUNAGGGUUNUNAAGCACUUUUGGCAGGGNAGAAAAGCCACCGGUUAAUACCUGGUGGUGCUGACGGUACCUGCAGAAUAAGCACCGGCUAACUACGUGCCAGCAGCCGCGGUAAUACGUAGGGUGCAAGCGUUAAUCGGAAUUACUGGGCGUAAAGCGUGCGCAGGCGGUUCGGCAAGAAGGAUGUGAAAUCCCGGGGCUUAACCUCGGAACUGCAUUCUUAACUGCCGGGCUAGAGUAUGUCAGAGGGGGGUAGAAUUCCACGUGUAGCAGUGAAAUGCGUAGAGAUGUGGAGGAAUACCGAUGGCGAAGGCAGCCCCCUGGGAUGAUACUGACGCUCAUGCACGAAAGCGUGGGGAGCAAACA
rnacentral:rRNA from 1 species